rnacentral:sRNA from 2 species
CUGGCAAGAAAUCGGCAAGACCAUUCAACACUCGUCGGCACCCACACAGCCGCCCUGUGCUACGGAGCGCCGGUCUUGGUUUGCAAUGAAAUAUACCCGACUCAGCUCCAAUCGAACAGCAGCACAAGCAUAUCGAUUAGGAAGGCCCUUUCCGGUUGGGAAUUUCCGGAUAGAUGUUGUGCACAUGUAUCGUGGGCAUGCUGUCGAUAUUUUGGCAAUCUCGAAAGGAUAAUUCAAUAUAUUGGGCAUGCACAUAUGCUGUGGUUGUACUCCGUACACGAUUGGAAGAUCAAACGCUGCCUUCAUACGCUUAGAAGCGACUAAUAGCUAUCACAAAUCUCUGUUUUCACCUCUAACCGUUGAAGCUUCCCGAAUUCCCUGCCGGUAUGUAUGAUAGAAUUUGGGACGUGCACGACCAUCAAACAGUGUUACACGUGGAGCUUGGGCACAAGGUCAUCUUUCCGCGCUUUCAUAUUUGACAACAUAGCCAAGUCGAUACCACAAAUUGCCAUAAACGUUAUAUCCACUUUUUACCUAGUUCGGCUGCCAGGAAGUUGAUAUGCGUAUCCGAAAAUUUCUCAAAAGAGAUGACAGCAUUUGCUCCAUUCAGCGUGUUAUCUCUUUUCCAUUUGCUCUCUAACUUUUGGGGGAACGAGAGGAAACACUACAAAGAC